GGACUCUUAAACGUAUCAUUUCGACAGAGAAAGAAGAUGAAGGCAGCUUCAGAGGGGUCUCAGUCAGCCGGAAUCCUGGUCUGAGGGCAAGGUAGAACCUUGCAGGGAAUUUGAUACGGGACACCCCUCUGCGUGCUGUGAAUGUUUUAUCGCCAUUGGUUAAUAUAGAAGCUGUUUUGGCCUAUGGCAGGGCAGGAUAGAGUCAGGUGGGAAAUCUGAGCAGAGAGACGGGGAGAAAGAAAAUGGAGUUGGGGAGACGCAAGCAGCUGCCGGGGAAGCAAGAGGUGAGGUAACAAGCCAACAAGCUUCAUGGUAAAAUGUGCAAUAAUAGAAAUGGGUUAAUUUAAGUUGCAGAGCUAGUUAAUAAGAAGCCAAGCAGUUUGUAAUUAAUCUUAAGCCUCAGAGUGGUUAUUCGGGAAUUGGCAGGUGAGAGACAUCUGGCACAGAUCCAUCCACAUAAGACCUCAAAAAGCUUUAAGAAGCUCUUAGCAAAGAGAAAUGGAGCCACACGGGGUUUCCUAGUCUCUCAUGCCAGCCAUGGCACAGAGACACAUCCCCAGACAACUGCCAGAGAGAUGGAGCCGGCCGCCAACCGCCGUGGGCUGAGCCGUGUGGCGGAUUCCUGCAGCCCCCUACACAAGCCACGGUAAAGAGGCUCCCUGGGAAGCCGUGUUUUAAAGUCUUCACUUGUGUUCUGGGAGAGAUGGGAAGUGUGUGUUCAUAUGCAGAGAUGGGCGCUUCUGGAACCGUGACUAGAAUGGAGAAGUCACUGGGAAAAGUCACCGACAGCAUCUCGUUGCCACUAGUUUUCUUCACAUCUCUACAGUACUGUUGGUUUAAACACGCUUACAUUGUUUCAGAUAGGUAUUUUUAAAUGAUUUAUUGUCUUCAUUAUUUUAUGUGUAUGGGUGUAUUGCCUUCAUGCAUGCCUACACACCAUGUGCUGUGUGGUAUCCAAGGACUACAGGGGAGGGCAUGGAACCCCUGGGGACCGGAGUUACAGACGGUUGUGAACUACAUUGGGAGUACUGGGAACUAAACCGCUGCCCGAAGAGCAGCCGGUGUUCUUAACCACUGAGUCCUCUGUCCAGCAUUCUAAUGUUUCAUUGAUAAAGAAGCCAUCAAGCGUGCCCUUUGGUUAAUUUGCUCAAAACUCAGCACCUUCCUUCUGUGGAUCCUCCCUUGAUUUCAAGGCCAGAGGUUACCCAUCAAGGGCCUGUGGUGGUCCUGUGGUGUCCCCAAAGUGCCAGUGGAAUCCUGCACCUGCACUCUGAGCUCUGAUGCCCAUGCAGAACUACUUUCUGCUCGUUUGUCCUUUAAGUCCUGGCCUCCUCCCCUGCAUGCCCUGUCUUCCUCCUUCUCCACCAGCAUCUGCAUGACCCUGCUCGUCCUCCUGCUUCUCCUCUCUUGGUGUUUCCUAACUGACCCCGCUGUAGAUAACUCAGACCGUGGGCUGCUUAUUUCAUGGGCUCUCCUCGCUCCUAUACCUGUGUUCUACCAGCAUUCUCAAGAUCAAGAAGGAAACGUUUUGCUCGCCAUACCUUUGUAUUCAAGAGGAAUGUUGACCACGCCCAAAACCCGCUCACCAUCCUUCACUUCGGCUCUAACGUGGACUGGCUUGAGGUCAACCACCGUUAUGAUAUCCCCUUUGGAGAACGACAGGUUGUCUAGUGACCCUGAAGACAGUAUUGGCCACGAGAAAAGGGAAAGGAAAAAAAAAAAAACGAACAACUCUUAGAGGUUGAAGUUACAUCCAGAGGUUCACAUUUCUCCAGGACAUGGCCAGCGCUGCUCCAGGCAGUGAGCAGACAGCAAAGUUGUCUCUUGUGAGCAGGUAACCAGCUACCUGAUCAUGACCUGAACAGUGAGGCAAGUGUCAUAGGAGGAGGAGGAACACGGGAAGGUAUCACACACGGGAGGAAUGGGACGCUUUACAGGCAUCUUUGACAGAGUUUUGCUGGGGACUAAGUCAUCGACGCCAACUGAUUCCACCUGACCCAGACAACGGGCACCAUUGUUUAUCAACCAAUAUCCAUAAAUGGCCGCCUUCAACUUUUACGGCAGGUUAAACAAACACCUGGAGUGCACAGUUGGGCAGCGGUCCUGAGUGGCCGCAAGGUGUAGUGUUAACUCUGGCUGUGAGGUCCAGCAGAAGUUCCAGGCUCUUGGAAUGUGAGGUCUGUAGAUCAUCAUCACCAACAUCGCCCGAGAGGCUGAACACAGCCAACAAUCGACUCACAGCCUACCCAACAGGACUGUCCAGGUGUGGGACCCAGUAAAUCGUGGCCCUGGGUGGACUCUACCAUCCAGCAGCAUCUCUACCAUCUACCAGCAUGCUGAGGAUGCAGACUCAGGCUCCACUCUAGGUAUCUUGGACCAGAGUCCCAUUCCCUUAUCACUGGCAGAAGGGUAAGCAGCUGUCUGUGGUGCCUGUUAGCAUACCAAAGCACCCACUGGCCCCCAGGCUCCUUCAGUAUCACAAGUACCUGCUACACAUUUCAGAGUCCAUGCUGGCACUCUGGCUGGCUCUUCUCAGGUCUUCUCUUCUACUCUAAACUUCUCCAGCUCAGGGGCUUUCCUCCCUGCAGCUACUCGUUCUUAUAACCCUGCUAUUCCCGCUAUGCUCGUUCUCUCUGCCCAUUCUUCUUUGUCCUCAUUUCUCACUGUCCCACCUCUCUCUCAUUUUCUCUCUCCUCUUCUUCUCUCAGAGCCAGGUCCAGCUGACAUUAUGUUAGGCUUUAAAGGGACUCUGUCAGCACAAUUUUACUUCCUAUAAAUACCUAAGUAGUAGCCGCUAAUAAACUUUGUGUGUGUGUGUGUGUGUGUGUGUGUGUGCUAAUGUUAGGCAAUAGACCACUUAAAAUCUUCUUCCUAUAUAUUCAAAGAUCUUUAUAUUCAUCUCACUGCUUUUGGAGCAAGUCCUACAAGUGUUAAUUAUAGUAAUUACUGAGCUAAAUGGUUUUUAAUAUUUCUCAGGCUUUUGUUAUCUGUUGCCAAGCUGCUUUGCAGAAAGUUUGAAAAGUUGAAACUCUAGCUGGUAGAUCAGGGUACCCGCCUUCCUCUCCGGCUUUGAGAACUGUUGAUUUUUGGAAUAUUUGCUAAUGUGGUAGGAGCUAGCCUGGCAUGGUUGCUGUCUUCCUGCUUCCUCCGUUCACUGUGUAGCCAUGACACCACGGGAGAACAGCUCGUGGGAUUCAGGCAUCCGAAGGCCGGUUAGUUUUCCCCAUGCCUGUUCCUGGAGCUCUCCCCAUGCCAUGGGAUAUUCAUGGCCAUAAACCUUUCUCAGCUCUCUCCCACAUUCCUGGGGCAGUUGAAACUGGUCCUAGAGCAGCUCUCAUCUGAUCCAGGUCAACGUCUGAACUUAACUCUGCUCAUAGGCUACUGUUGUCAAGCCUACCCGCACUGCUCCCGGUAGCCCCCUUCUUACCUGUGUGUUUUACAGUUCAGGUGUCACAUGACCCUCUAGUAACCUUGUAAAGUAUGUGUGUGUGUGUGUGUGUGUGCAUGUGCGUGUACAUGUGUGCGCGCGCGCGCAAUGAUGCCAUAGCCAGGAGGACAAGCUUCAGUGAGGAGAGGGGACUUAGUUUAGUGCCACUUCUCUGCUGGUCAGAUGUUGUCACUCUUCAGUAACUGUUCAGUUCUACCAGUAGCCCUAGACUAAGCUCCCUCAGCACUUUCUUUAUGGACCAUGCACAAGAUUUAGGAGGACACCAUUGUAAUGUCCCCAUUUAAACUUCUGGCUGUAUGUGUUUAUUAUCUAGUUGCUUGUUUCUCUCUAGCGCUAGAUUUCCUAGCUAACACAGGCUCCGAAUGUUAGCAUCUCCUACCUCCUCUCAGAUGUAGUCUAUGGCUUGGGCUGGCCUUUUACUGAAAGAGCAGCCAUCACGCCAAGGCUUAUGCUGGUCUCUGCUUUGAGCCUGACAGAAAGGACACGGCAAAGGGGUAGGGUGCUGGCUUUGGGAGAACGAUGAAGAGAAUCUGCUUUUCUUACAUUAACCAUUAGAAAGAUAGAGAAGUCACAGCCAUCGGGUCUAAAUGAUGGCCGUGGGGGCGAGGACCUCAAUAGCCAGACUUGUUCCUGGUGUUAAAGACCCCUCAAAAACAGAAAUGACAGUGAGCGUGGCAACCCCCCUGCUCCAGCCCUCAAGCCUUAUGUUUUGGAGAUCACAAAGAGGGUCCACAUGUCUGCCACCGGUGGGUUAAAGAGAUAUAAGGAACUGUGGGAUUAUAUUUGGUUUGUGUCAUAUUAGUUUGAGAUGAGGUUUCUUUUGCUAAGGUUGGCCUCAAACACGGCUAUGCUGAAGACGACUGAACUUCCGAUCUCUCUGCCUCUGCCUCCUGAGUGCUGAGAUUAUAGGUAUGCACCUACACAUGCAUUUGAUGCAGUGCUGGGCAUUGAACCAGGGAUUAAGGACACUAGGCAAACAUUGUACCAGCUGAGCUACAGCCACCAUCCCAGGGUUCUGGUUUGUUGCUCUAUGGAUAUGUUUAUGAGUGAAGGGCUGUGCUGCUCACAGCGAUCUCCAAAAGUGAUAGCUCUUCAGCAGUACUCUCUUUAGCUUUUCCUGCACAGUCCCAUUUCCUGUAACUGUAACAAAAUAACCAAGACUGUAACUGUAACUGUAACAAAAUAACCAAGACUGUAACUGUAACUGUAACAAAAUAACCAAGACUGUAACUGUAACUGUAACAAAAUAACCAAGACUGUAACUGUAAAGACUG